rnacentral:rRNA from 1 species
GAUGAACGCUGGCGGCGUGCCUAAUACAUGCAAGUCGAGCGAACGGACGAGAAGCUUGCUUCUCUGAUGUUAGCGGCGGACGGGUGAGUAACACGUGGAUAACCUACCUAUAAGACUGGGAUAACUUCGGGAAACCGUAGCUAAUACCGGAUAAUAUUUUGAACCGCAUGGUUCAAAAGUGAAAGACGGUCUUGCUGUCACUUAUAGAUGGAUCCGCGCUGCAUUAGCUAGUUGGUAAGGUAACGGCUUACCAAGGCAACGAUGCAUAGCCGACCUGAGAGGGUGAUCGGCCACACUGGAACUGAGACACGGUCCAGACUCCUACGGGAGGCAGCAGUAGGGAAUCUUCCGCAAUGGGCGAAAGCCUGACGGAGCAACGCCGCGUGAGUGAUGAAGGUCUUCGGAUCGUAAAACUCUGUUAUUAGGGAAGAACAUAUGUGUAAGUAACUGUGCACAUCUUGACGGUACCUAAUCAGAAAGCCACAACUAACUACGUG